AGGACGAACGCUGGCGGCGUGCUUAACACAUGCAAGUCGAGCGGAAAGGCCCUUCGGGGUACUCGAGCGGCGAACGGGUGAGUAACACGUGAGCAACCUGCCCCUGGCUCUGGGAUAGCUCCGGGAAACCGGGAUUAAUACCGGACAUGACCUCCUCCCGCAUGGGUGGAGGUGGAAAGUUUUUCGGCCAGGGAGGGGCUCGCGGCCUAUCAGCUUGUUGGCAGGGUAAUGGCCUACCAAGGCGACGACGGGUAGCCGGCCUGAGAGGGCGACCGGCCACACUGGGACUGAGACACGGCCCAGACUCCUACGGGAGGCAGCAGUGGGGAAUAUUGCGCAAUGGGCGAAAGCCUGACGCAGCGACGCCGCGUGCGGGAUGAAGGCCUUCGGGUUGUAACCGCUUUCAGCAGGGACGAACUAGACGGUACCUGCAGAAGAGCGCCGGCUAACUACGUGCCAGCAGCCGC
rnacentral:rRNA from 1 species